AUGGCUGGGAAGAUCACAUCCCUCAGUGCUGUGGCAUUUUCCAGCUACCAACAGCAGCUCCAAAGCAGCUGUCACAGCUGGACCAGUACUUCCUCAUGUGGAUCACAAGCUACUUCUUCAGCCAAAAUGAUGCCCCCAGAACACAGUUCACCUGCCCUCUACCUAACACACAUUUUUUUUUCAACUGUAUCACUCAGAUGCAUAAAAAGAGUCACCCGUGGGUCUAUACAAGAGUCAUCCAUGUCACCCAAAUACAUACCAAGGAUAGUUGGUUUCAAGUUGCUCCCUAAUUUCUAAUCAAACCCGUUUGAUGGAGAGAAAAAGGAGGAAACGGGCAGGUAAUUACUGUCUCUUUUUCACAGUCAAUCAUGCUUCAAAUUAAAUGCCUUGAAAUCAAAGCUUAAAAGGACACUGACAAAAUAUUUUGACAAAAUAAUCUUUUCUCUUUUGUUAUGAAAACAUUGAGAACGGAGAACAGAAAUCUGUUUCCUAACUCUCCAUCUCUCCUCCUUGGAUAGACACUGCAUGUUUCUAAGUGGCUCCUCGGGAACAAUAGCGUACUGGCAAGUAAGCUGUUCACUCUUUGUAGGAAGUGGUAAGACAUUAUUUUGGUAAAUACUGCAGUUUGAUUGUGCUUAUUUGUUCAUGAAAAGAACUAAAUACCUGUGGCAACUCCCUGUGUACCAUCUUCAGAAGAUUGUUUCUAUUCUGCAAUAGCCAUUAUUCCUCCAGAGGAUAUACACCACCAACUCCAAGGACAUUCUGGUUCCUUAACAGAAACAAGAUGACACUCCUUUGGAUCCCAGCAGGCAAAUAAUGCAGUGUGCUCUCUCCACCAGCAUCAAAUCUCUCUUUUCAAACUUGCUACAAACAUUUAUUUUUUUUUUCAUUAAACGUUAGACUUUUCUCUUGAAUGUUAAGAGAAGAAACUAAAGCUGAAUGGAACACUGCUGUACAAAUUUACUGCCCAGUAGGUUACAGAAAAAGCAUCAUAUGCUAAAGAAUGAAGAUUCCAAAGACCUCCAGUGAUGCUUUUUGAGGCUUAGAAUCUAUAGUAGCUCUGAGCCUGUUAGCUGCAGAACACAUCAGUAAGACUUCUGCAGAACUACUAAAAAACAUGAACUGCAUAUGAGUAGACCAUUGAAAUCAAACUAACUUGCGCAUUUUAAAUCAAAUAUAUGAAUGAGCUUGGGAUAAAAUGCUAAUCGGAGCAGCCACGUUUCUGGUGAAACUCAUACACAGAGGAAUAAAACACAAAACACUCCAGUUUCUCUGAAGCCC
rnacentral:lncRNA from 1 species